rnacentral:rRNA from 1 species
CAAUAGCGUAUAUUAAAGUUGUUGCAGUUAAAAAGCUAGUAGUUGAAUUUCUGUCAUAUGCGGACUGGCGUGCAAUUUGUACCGUCUGGUUGGCAUUGACAUUCUUCGGGGUACGUGCGUCACUUAACUGUGGCGUGCGAUGUCCUGGACUUUUACUUUGAGAAAAUUAGAGUGUUUCAAGCAGGCAUCUGCCUUGAAUACUACAGCAUGGAAUAAUAAGAUAGGACCUCGGUUCUUUCUUGUCGGUUCGAAGAACUGAAGUAAUGAUUAACAGGGACGGUCGGGGGCAUUCGUAUUUAACUGUCAGAGGUGAAAUUCUUAGAUUUGUUAAAGACGAACUACUGUGAAAGCAUUUGCCAAGGACGUUCCCAUUAAC